rnacentral:rRNA from 1 species
GACGAACGCUGGCGGCGCGCCUAACACAUGCAAGUCGAACGAGCGAGAGAGAGCUUGCUUUCUUGAGCGAGUGGCGAACGGGUGAGUAACGCGUGAGGAACCUGCCUCAAAGAGGGGGACAACAGUUGGAAACGACUGCUAAUACCGCAUAAGCCCACGGUGCCGCAUGGCACAGAGGGAAAGGGAGCAAUCCGCUUUGAGAUGGCCUCGCGUCCGAUUAGCUAGUUGGUGAGGUAACGGCCCACCAAGGCGACGAUCGGUAGCCGGACUGAGAGGUUGAACGGCCACAUUGGGACUGAGACACGGCCCAGACUCCUACGGGAGGCAGCAGUGGGGAAUAUUGCACAAUGGGGGAAACCCUGAUGCAGCGACGCCGCGUGGAGGAAGAAGGUCUUCGGAUUGUAAACUCCUGUUGUUGAGGAAGAUAAUGACGGUACUCAACAAGGAAGGACGG